AAAAAUGAUGUGUCUGAGUCAUAUGUCUGUAAUGAAAGUGCUGGCAGGCGAUGUGGAUAAGAGAGAUUGGUUGGUAAUGACUGUGCAUGACGUGUGGCCACAUAGAUGAAUUGCCUAAACUAUGUCGUAUAAACCCAAAAAGAAGGAGAGAUUCUUUGGACCCACCUCCUGAUGGCACAAUUUCAAAAUAAAAGAUGUAUUCUUAUAAAUAGGGGUGGG
rnacentral:lncRNA from 1 species